UGCUUUGCGCAGUGGCGAUAUCGUAACCAAUGAGGUACAACCGAGGUGCGAUUAUUGCUAAUUGAAAACUAAUACCAAAAGCUACACGUUUAAAAGGUGUAGAAGACGCUAAAUCGAAAUGAGUAGAAAAAUAUCCAUA